rnacentral:rRNA from 1 species
GACGAACGCUGGCGGCGUGCCUAAUACAUGCAAGUCGAGCGGACGAAUCGAAAGCUUGCUUUUGAUUCGUUAGCGGCGGACGGGUGAGUAACACGUGGGCAACCUGCCCUGUAGACGGGGAUAACACCGAGAAAUCGGUGCUAAUACCGGAUAACACGAAAUGUCGCAUGACGUUUCGUUGAAAGACGGCGCAAGUUGUCGCUACAGGAUGGGCCCGCGGCGCAUUAGCUAGUUGGUGAGGUAACGGCUCACCAAGGCGACGAUGCGUAGCCGACCUGAGAGGGUGAUCGGCCACACUGGGACUGAGACACGGCCCAGACUCCUACGGGAGGCAGCAGUAGGGAAUCUUCCGCAAUGGACGAAAGUCUGACGGAGCAACGCCGCGUGAGCGAAGAAGGCCUUCGGGUCGUAAAGCUCUGUUGUUAGGGAAGAACAAGUAACGCAGUAACUGGCGUUACCGUGACGGUACCUAACGAGAAAGCCACGGCUAACUACGUG